rnacentral:rRNA from 1 species
CCUACGGGAGGCAGCAGUGAGGAAUAUUGGUCAAUGGACGAGAGUCUGAACCAGCCAAGUAGCGUGAAGGAUGACUGCCCUAUGGGUUGUAAACUUCUUUUAUAUGGGAAUAAAGUGAGGCACGUGUGCCUUUUUGUAUGUACUUUAUGAAUAAGGAUCGGCUAACUUCGUGCCAGCAGCCGCGGUAAUACGGAGGAUCGGGGCGUUAUCCGGAUUUAUUGGGGUUAAAGGGAGCGUAGAUGGGUUGUUAAGUCAGUUGUGAAAGUUUGCGGCUCAACCGUAAAAUUGCAAUUGAUACUGGCAGUCUUGAGUACAGUUGAGGUAGGCGGAAUUCGUGGUGUAGCGGUGAAAUGCUUAGAUAUCACGAAGAACUCCGAUUGCGAAGGCAGCUUACUAAACUGCCACUGACAUUGAUGCUCGAAAGUGUGGGUAUCAAACAGGAUUAGAUACCCUAGUAGUC